rnacentral:rRNA from 1 species
UACGGAAGGCAGCAGUGGGGAAUAUUGCACAAUGGGCGCAAGCCUGAUGCAGCCAUGCCGCGUGUAUGAAGAAGGCCUUCGGGUUGUAAAGUACUUUCAGCGGGGAGGAAGGCGAUGCGGUUAAUAACCGCGUCGAUUGACGUUACCCGCAGAAGAAGCACCGGCUAACUCCGUGCCAGCAGCCGCGGUAAUACGGAGGGUGCAAGCGUUAAUCGGAAUUACUGGGCGUAAAGCGCACGCAGGCGGUCUGUUAAGUCAGAUGUGAAAUCCCCCGGGCUUAAACCUGGGAACUGCAUUUUGAAACUGGCAGGCUUGAGUCUGUAGAGGGGGUAGAAUUCCAGGUGUAGCGGUGAAAUGCGUAGAGAUCUGGAGGAAUACCGGUGGCGAAGGCGGCCCCUGGACAAAGCUGACGCUCAGGU